rnacentral:rRNA from 1 species
UACGUAGGGUGCGAGCGUUAAUCGGAAUUACUGGGCGUAAAGCGUGCGCAGGCGGUCCGCAAAGUCUGAUGUGAAAGCCCCGGGCUCAACCUGGGAACUGCAUUGGAAACUAACGGGCUCGAGUGUGGCAGAGGGGGGUGGAAUUCCACGUAUAGCAGUGAAAUGCGUAGAGAUGUGGAGGAACACCGAUGGCGAAGGCAGCCCCCUGGGCUAACACUGACGCUCAGGCACGAAAGCGUGGGGAGCAAACAGG